AUUGAACGCUGGCGGCAGGCUUAACACAUGCAAGUCGAGCGGGCGAGGUUGCUUCGGUAACUGAGCUAGCGGCGGACGGGUGAGUAAUGCUUAGGAAUCUGCCUAUUAGUGGGGGACAACAUUCCGAAAGGGAUGCUAAUACCGCAUACGUCCUACGGGAGAAAGCAGGGGAUCAUUUGACCUUGCGCUAAUAGAUGAGCCUAAGUCGGAUUAGCUAGUUGGUGGGGUAAAGGCCUACCAAGGCGACGAUCUGUAGCGGGUCUGAGAGGAUGAUCCGCCACACUGGGACUGAGACACGGCCCAGACUCCUACGGGAGGCAGCAGUGGGGAAUAUUGGACAAUGGGGGGAACCCUGAUCCAGCCAUGCCGCGUGUGUGAAGAAGGCCUUUUGGUUGUAAAGCACUUUAAGUGGGGAGGAGGCUUACCUGGUUAAUACCUGGGCUAA
rnacentral:rRNA from 1 species